rnacentral:rRNA from 1 species
AGUGAACGCUGGCGGUAGGCCUAACACAUGCAAGUCGAACGGCAGCACAGUAAGAGCUUGCUCUUACGGGUGGCGAGUGGCGGACGGGUGAGGAAUACAUCGGAAUCUACUUUUUCGUGGGGGAUAACGUAGGGAAACUUACGCUAAUACCGCAUACGACCUACGGGUGAAAGCAGGGGAUCUUCGGACCUUGCGCGAUUGAAUGAGCCGAUGUCGGAUUAGCUAGUUGGCGGGGUAAAGGCCCACCAAGGCGACGAUCCGUAGCUGGUCUGAGAGGAUGAUCAGCCACACGGGAACUGAGACACGGUCCAGACUCCUACGGGAGGCAGAAGUGGGGAAUAUUGGACAAUGGGCGAAAGCCUGAUCCAGCCAUACCGCGUGGGUGAAGAAGGCCUUCGGGUUGUAAAGCCCUUUUGUUGGGAAAGAAAAGCAGCAGGUUAAUACCCCGCUGUUCUGACGGUACCCAAAGAAUAAGCACCGGCUAACUUCGUG